rnacentral:rRNA from 1 species
GACGAACGCUGGCGGCGUGCUUAACACAUGCAAGUCGAACGGAAAGGCCAUGCUCUUGUGGGGUGCUCGAGUGGCGAACGGGGGAGUAACACGUGAGUAACCCGCCCUUGUAUGUGGGAUAAAUUCAGGGAACAGGGGCUAAUACAGGAUAGGAUCUACUGCAGCACGGGGGGGGUUGGAGAGUUACGGCGGUGUUGGCUGGUCUCGCGGCUUAUCAGCUUGUUGGUGGGGUAGUGGCUGACCAAGGCUUUGACGGGUAGCCGGCCUUGGAGAGUGAACGGGCACAUUGGGCCUGCGGUACGCAGCAGUCUCGUAUGGUCGGCAGCAGUGGGGAACAUUGCACAAUGGGGGCAAGCCUGUUGCGACGACGUUCGGUUCGUAAUGCCGGGUUACGGGUGGUAAACCGCUGUCGAAUGUACCGAAGCGUGAGUGACGGUAAUGGGUAAAGAAGCACCGGCUAACUACGCG